GGAUUCAACGCCGGAAAUCUUACCGGGACCGACAGCAAUAUGAAGGCCAGGCUGAAGACUUUGCCGGAUUAGCUGAGAGGUGGUGCAUGGCCGUCGUCAGUUCGUACUGUGAAGCAUCCUGUUAAGUCAGGCAACGAGCGAGACCCACGCCCACAGUUGCCAGCGUACUCUCUGGAGUGACGGGUACACUGUGGGGACCGCCGCUGCUAAAGCGGAGGAAGGAAUGGGCAACGGUAGGUCAGUAUGCCCCGAAUAUCCCGGGCUACACGCGAGCUACAAUGAUUGGUACAAUGGGUAUCUACCCCGAAAGGGGACGGGAAUCUCCUAAAACCAAUCUUAGUUCGGAUUGAGGGCUGCAACUCGCCCUCAUGAAGCUGGAAUCCGUAGUAAUCGCGUUUCAACAGAACGCGGUGAAUACGUCCCUGCUCCUU
rnacentral:rRNA from 1 species